UACGUAGGGUGCAAGCGUUAAUCGGAAUUAUUGGGCGUAAAGCGCGCGCAGGCGGUCUUUUAAGUCUGAUGUGAAAGCCCACGGCUCAACCGUGGAGGGUCAUUGGAAACUGGGAGACUUGAGUGCAGAAGAGAAGAGUGGAAUUCCACGUGUAGCGGUGAAAUGCGUAGAGAUGUGGAGGAACACCAGUGGCGAAGGCGACUCUUUGGUCUGUAACUGACGCUGAGGCGCGAAAGCGUGGGGAGCAAACAGG
rnacentral:rRNA from 1 species